rnacentral:rRNA from 1 species
AUUGAACGCUGGCGGCAUGCUUUACACAUGCAAGUCGAACGGUAACAGGCCGCAAGGUGCUGACGAGUGGCGAACGGGUGAGUAAUGCAUCGGAACGUGCCCAGUCGUGGGGGAUAACUACUCGAAAGAGUAGCUAAUACCGCAUACGAUCUAUGGAUGAAAGCGGGGGACCGUAAGGCCUCGCGCGAUUGGAGCGGCCGAUGUCAGAUUAGGUAGUUGGUGGGGUAAAGGCUCACCAAGCCAACGAUCUGUAGCUGGUCUGAGAGGACGACCAGCCACACUGGGACUGAGACACGGCCCAGACUCCUACGGGAGGCAGCAGUGGGGAAUUUUGGACAAUGGGCGCAAGCCUGAUCCAGCAAUGCCGCGUGCAGGAAGAAGGCGUUCGGGUUGUAAACUGCUUUUGUACGGAACGAAACGGCUCUGGUUAAUACCCGGGGCUAAUGACGGUACCGUAAGAAUAAGCACCGGCUAACUACGUG